UUCCUGCUGGGUUUUGUCAUGUGAUCAUGUAUCCCAUCUACCUCUCUGGCUCUGGAGAAUGGAGGCACUCAGUUUCCUGUGAAUGUAUAAAGACAUCUGACAUUAUGCCAGCAGACAGACUUCCCACCCAAACAGCUGCGUUCCUCUCCGAGACUCGCUGUGGGAAAACACUCAGUCAGAUGACGACGGGCUCAUACCGCGGAUGCUCUGUGUGACUGAAACAUGAAUCGAUCUGUUAUUGAUAACGAGCUGUUAAACUGAACAUGAGAGUUGAUGAUGCUGACAUUCCCCUCCAUCCUCCCCACCACCACCAGGUUGUCCCUGUCCAUCCAUUGGGGGGAGGCUCCACCCCUGCCUUUAUCUACAGGCAGGAUCAUGCGAAUCUGCAUCCCCAGGAUUUGGACAAAGGACGGGGCCCACGCCAAAACACUUACACAACUAAACAUGAAUCAUUGUAGCGCACUACUAUCUGUUCAUACGUAAUGGAAUAAACACCAUAUAAAUGUUCAUCUGCCUUCUGAGUCUUUAUGGUAGAACGGUCUUGAACAUUAAACAUCAUUAAAUCUCAACAACGUCUCAAACUUUGCUCAGAUGUGUCGAAAUCAGCAAUCACAAGACAAGUCGGAGAUCACAAUACAAAAUCAAAACACUGAGCUGCAAUCUGAGUUAUUGUGUCCCCUGUGGUGACCGAAACAUGCAUUGAUCUGUUAUUGGAAAUUUUCUGUUAAACGAGUAGAGAAAAGCAUUCAACACAGUCUGUCUGUCUAUCAGUAUAUCAGUCUAUCUAU